rnacentral:miRNA from 1 species
UCGCUUUGAAACAGCAAAGCGGGAGAAGAGCCGCUGAGUGGGGAGGAGAGAGGGACAGAGAGCCUGCUUCUUUAAAGGAGCAAAGCGGGAGAGGAGAGGAGCAGCUUACACUCAUGUCCGGUUGGUUCCUUUAAAGCAAGCAGGCUCUCUGUCCCUCUCUCGUCCCCACUCAGUUCGCUACAUAGCAGCAAAGUU